CCUGCUGGCUGGGCGGCGGCUCCCGAUACGGGAGAGGAAAGUCCGGGCUCCACAGGAGGCUGUGCUGGGUAACGCCCAGGCGUCGGGGCGACCCGACGACGGAAAGCGCCACAGAAACGCAGACCGCCCCCACGGGGGUAAGGGUGCAACGGUGCGGUAAGAGCGCACCAGCGUUCGCGCGAGCGAACGGCUGGGCAAGCCCCACAGGGAGCAAGGUCGCAUAGGGAGGGGAUGACGCGCUCCGCCGACCCUCCGGGUAGACCGCGUAAGGCUUCGCGCAAGCGAACGCCCCAGAGAGAUCGCCGCCACAAACAGAACCCGGCUUACACGCCAGCAGAGCGC
rnacentral:RNase_P_RNA from 1 species